AUCGCUUCUCGGCCUUUUGGCUAAGAUCAAGUGUAGUAUAAUAGCCACUAGCCACACAUCGCUAUUGAGUACUUAAAAUGUAGCUGGUCUGAAUUGAGCUCUACUGUGAGUGUAUCAUAUACUCUGGAUUUCAAAGACUUAGUACAAAAAAUGAAUAUAUAUCAUUAAUUUUAUAUUGAUUAAAUGUUG